GACGAACGCUGGCGGCGUGCUUAACACAUGCAAGUCGAACGGAAAGGCCCUGCUUUUGUGGGGUGCUCGAGUGGCGAACGGGUGAGUAACACGUGAGUAACCUGCCCUUGACUUUGGGAUAACUUCAGGAAACUGGGGCUAAUACCGGAUAGGAGCUCCUGCUGCAUGGUGGGGGUUGGAAAGUUUCGGCGGUUGGGGAUGGACUCGCGGCUUAUCAGCUUGUUGGUGGGGUAGUGGCUUACCAAGGCUUUGACGGGUAGCCGGCCUGAGAGGGUGACCGGCCACAUUGGGACUGAGAUACGGCCCAGACUCCUACGGGAGGCAGCAGUGGGGAAUAUUGCACAAUGGGCGGAAGCCUGAUGCAGCAACGCCGCGUGCGGGAUGACGGCCUUCGGGUUGUAAACCGCUUUCGCCUGUGACGAAGCGUGAGUAACGGUAAUGGGUAAAGAGGCACCGGCUAACUACGUG
rnacentral:rRNA from 1 species